rnacentral:rRNA from 1 species
AUGCGUGAGAAAUACCGCGGCCAAGAUCACAUCCACACCGCUAGUGGAGAAGGUAUUAAGAUUGGUCACAUUGGUCAUUCUGUUAUUAAAACCCCUCAUAGAAAAAUUCAUCUUAGAAUUUUUUUGCAUGUUCCUAGUGCUUCCAAAAGUCGCCUUUCUGUUCAUCGCAUUGCCAUUUAUAAUCAUGUCUUUCUUGAAUUUCACCCCUUCUUCUUUUUGAUCAAGGAUCAGGCCACGAGGAGGGUGCUAUAUCAAGGUAGAUGUGUUCAAGGGCUUUACCCAUUGAUUUCGGAGAUAAGAAGACUCAAUAAACAAGUUUUUAGUGCCACCAAAGUCUCAUCCACACGGUGGCAUGAUCGAUUAGGACAUGCAUCUUUUUCUUUAGUUGAGCGUUUGCUUAGGAAAAAUAAGCUCCCAUAUGUUGGAGAGCGUGAUGUUGAAACAAUUUGUGAUUCCUGCCAAAGAGCUAAAAGUCAUCAGUUGCCUUAUCCUAUUUCCACAGGUAUUUCUACCAAACCUUUGCAGCUUAUCUUUUCUGAUGUGUGGGGACCAGCUCGCUCCUCUGUUGGUAGACAUACGUAUUAUAUGAGUUCCAUUGACGACUAUAGUAAAUUUACCUGGAUCUAUCUUCUCAAGAAAAGAUCCGAUGUAUGCCAAGUUUUUCUUAAUUUCUAA